rnacentral:rRNA from 1 species
UACGUAGGUGGCAAGCGUUGUCCGGAUUUACUGGGCGUAAAGAGCGCGCAGGCGGUCGUUCAAGUCGCGUGUGAAAGCCCCCGGCUCAACUGGGGAGGGUCACGCGAUACUGAUCGACUCGAAGGCAGGAGAGGGUAGUGGAAUUCCCGGUGUAGUGGUGAAAUGCGUAGAUAUCGGGAGGAACACCAGUGGCGAAGGCGACUACCUGGCCUGUUCUUGACGCUGAGGCGCGAAAGCUAGGGGAGCAAACGGGAUUAAGAAACCCUGAGU